UGGUGGAGCGAUUUGUCUGGUUAAUUCCGAUAACGAACGAGACCUUAACCUGCUAAAUAGCCCGCAUUGCUCCGGCAGUGCGCUGGCUUCUUAGAGGGACUUUCGGCUCAAGCCGAAGGAAGUUUGAGGCAAUAACA
rnacentral:rRNA from 1 species